rnacentral:rRNA from 1 species
GAUGAACGCUGGCGGCGUGCCUAACACAUGCAAGUCGAGCGAACGGACGCUAAUCUUGCUUUUCUGAUGUUAGCGGCGGGCGGGUGAGUAACACGUGGAUAACCCACCUAUAAGACUGGGAUAACUUCGAGAAAGCGGAGCUAAUACCGGAUAAUAUUUUGAACCGCAUGGUUCAAAAGUGAAAGACGGUCUUGCUGUCACUUAUAGCUGGAUCCGCGCUGCAUUAGCUAGUUGGUAAGGUAACGGCUUACCAAGGCAACGAUGCAUAGCCGACGUGAGAGCGUGAUCGGCGACACGGGAGCUGAGACGCGGUCCUGACUCCUACGGGAGGCAGCAGUAGCGAAUGUUCGGCACUGGGGGGAAGCCUGACGGAGCGGCGCCACGUGAGUGCUGAAGGUCUUCGGAUCGGAAGACUGUGUUAUUGGGGAAAAACAUAUGUGUAAGGAACUGAGCACAUCGUGACGGUACCUAGUCAAGAAGCCACGGCUAACUACGUG